ACCAAAAAAGGGGGCCAUGUAACCAAAUGUCUGGAUUAUAUAGGGACGGGCAGCCCAGACCCUAGGAUUUUAGGGUAGGGGGGUAUGUCAGCCAGGAGAGCCCUGAAACAGAGAGGGACUGAGGGAUGCAGGGAGAAUGUAGCAGUCAGGUCUGCUUUGAUAUGUUAAGUAGGCACCUCAGCCACUUGUCCCAUGAAAUCUAACAUCAGUGUGACAUUGUCUAGAGGGGGUUCAAUAUGGCUGUGCAGUGGGAGGGAAGAGACACAGAGUUCAUCAGUGAAGCAGAGCAGAGCAGGCUGUUAGGAAUUUGGACACUUCUUUCCCAGGCCGGAGAGAGUUGCCAGCUGUCUCAGGGAACCAUGCUCCGGGCAUCCGGGGUCUUUCUAGUCACUCUGUCACAAAGCCACCCAUCUGUAUUCACACAUCCCGUGUUUCUGUGUAUCUGCCCGCCAUGCCUCUGUGCUGUGUGGAGUCCUUUCUCCUGGGCUCAGACGAGCAGUUCUCCAGUUUGCUAUUGUAUGCAGGAGUUGACUCCACGGGCAAUUCCGAACUCAACCCGAGCAGUUAAAAGAAACGCAAGAACUGAAGCCACAGGACACCAUCCAAGCACAGAUUGCGGUGGACACCAACACCUAGCCAGGCACUAACAACCAAGGAAAAUGCUGAUUUAGGGGGAUCUUUAGGUCUUGACAUGUGGACACCUUGAGGAGCACCUAUACAGAUGGACAGUGGCCAGAUCCUGGAGAUGACAGCCAGUCCUGGAGAUGACAGCUGAUCCACAGUGAGUCAAUUCAUUUACGUUAACUGCAGGAUAUAAGGUUUUAGGUUGUCCUAAUAUCUAUAGCCAGUACUUCAAAGAUUCUCUUUGAUGGAGUUCAGUCCAAUUAACAUCCCUGUAAAAUAGAUGGCAAACAGCCUCAAAGAAAGCAAUCUAAGAAACAGACCUAACCGCUUCUGCACAGAUGAUCAGGUAGCUAGCAUAAGUGCACACAUAUUAGGAGCUGUUCUGAAACCUGAGAGCACUCUCCAUUUGAGGGGAAAGAUAUCAAAAUUGGAAAUAUAACAUCAUUCCUUAGAUAUUACUUAUAAAAUUCCCAAUUUUUAGAGUCUUGCAUUUCCUCUCUCUCAGCUGUCACUCUAAAGGACAAUGGCAGGCAUGCAUCAGGGCAUCUCGGUUGCUUGCCCUGGAAGCCAGCUAUCUGGGGGCUCCCACGGUGUGCACCAAGGGAGCCUGACCCCAAAUCUGGCAUACUGGAGGGGGAAAGAAUUGAUUGCCCAGAUGCGCAGAUGGGGGUGUUUUUGUGAAUGCCUGGAGAGCAGUGGAUUCAGUGGAACCGCUUAUCAACGGUUUCCUGCUCAAGCCCCGUCUUGAAAAGCGGUUGUUAGCUUAGAGCAAUCGGUGUUCACAAAGAGCCAUUGAAAAUGUGGAUUUCACAGAGACACAGUCAUAAAGUAACAUUUCAGCCAUUCGGCCAUGAAGAAAUUCACGAGUUAGGGGACCACGUUUGCAGUGGCUAGCAACAGGACCUCUGAAGGCCAAGGUGAAGUCACUCGGCCAAUGUCCACUCUCUAUGCCGGGCAGGAGAGCCAGAGCCUGGCUCCACAGUAAGGAGAGCCUCUCUAUUCCUGUAGGUGUGGAGGUCACUGCUUUUUAUCUCGUGCAGCUUCUCUGCCUCACCCCAGAGAAACACUUUAAGACCAAGUGGUGAGCUGUAGUUGGACCGUGAUUUGCCUUCUCUGUGCUGCAGAGGUUCCUCCAGGAAGUGGGCUAUUUACACACCGAAAGAUCUGUCCACCACUGUUUACCAGUGAAAAGCAAAUCAAAGACUAUACUGUCAUCCCCAAGGUUUUGUAGUGUGGGAUUUGGUCACAUGAAGAAAAUAAAGUCAAAGCCCUUACAAGUGUCUCUGGCCUGUUUGUGUGAGUGUGGGUGAUUCUUCUCAUUAUCCAAGUCAUAGCUGGGUGAUGAUGGUACUCUGGGGGUCAGGCUACACAGAAGUAGCACAGUUCAGUCAGAGCAAGCCCACCUCUCACUCCAUAUGUGCCUGCAGGUGGCCACUAGCAGUCUGGUUGGUAGCACAUGGCACGGAGAACUGUGAGCAGGACCUGAGGCAUACCCAUCCCUCUUGAGUCUUAAACUCAGCAGCUGGUUAGAGUAAGCAAGGUAGGCAAAUUUCAGCACUGAGCUGGUCCACUGUCUUCGGUGCUCUCUGACCAAGCUCAUGCUGAGUCAGUCUGAAGACACUCCCUUGUCACUAACAGCAGGAGAUAUUUGUAUUCAGAUCAGUAAUCCCGCAGAGCGUGAUUAAGGGAGAAGAGGGCUUAGCAUCCUGUCAUUUUAAAAUCAACAUUCUUGAAUGUCUUUGUCAAAUUAAAAUUCACAGAGUUAAGCACUAACACAGCUAAAGAUAAAAUUGUCUAAGUCAAGGUUCUAUGUGGAAACAGCGAUUGGGAUUCAUGCUGUUAAAUUCAAGAGAGAUUUUUGAAUUUAGGGUUAGUGAGAAGAGACCAAGACUUAAGCCCAACACCCUUCCCUCAACAACAAGAAACAACAGAGAAAUAAGCAGCUGCAUUCUGACUGGGAAAACGUGAACGAUGCUUGCUGGUGUGUUGGUGAGUAAGGGAUGGGGGAAUAUUUUGGAGCAUGCGCACUACGGAGCAUGCGCACUUUGGGUGGCUAGCAGAGUAGAAAGGGAGCAAUUGCCCAUCAGUGCUCAGGUACGAUGUGAACCUGGAGUCUUUCUUCCAGAGCUGGAGGGGCAAACGGAUACCCAGCAAUCUGCACUUAGCUGCAGAACAGGUUUGAACGGUCCCAGCUUGCACUACCUUUAAGAGACCCUUCCCUACAGAUACCCCAGUUAUCCUGGGACCAUAGACACUGUCCAAGUUCAUUUUGCUGUGGGGACACCUAGCCAUGCCCUCUUCCCAUGACAAAACUAUACUAAUAGAUCUUGACUUUAGGAGGAAAAAAAAGGUCCAGCAAAAGCAACCUUGGCAACUGCAGCAGAACCCACACAGUGCCUUAAUCUUGCCCUCAGAGAUCAGCCAGCUGUCAUGGCAUCUGUACCCCAAGCAUGGAGAUCACUGUACGCCACCUGGCGGGCGGGGAUUAGCUAGCUGCAAGUGCUUGGGAGGCUAAAGAAAACCCUGCCUUAAACAGGAAGCCACAGUCCAUCCAGACUCAAUACUGUCCACAUGCCUCAGGAACCUGAGGUGAUGCUACCCCAGGGGAAACUGUACAUGAAGUGAUGAGACAGCCACUGGCUGUUGAGACUUUUUCAGAUGCUCCUCAUCUUGACCUACCAGAAGAACUUGCACAAAAAGGCCUGUGCGGACUCACCUACCCAGAUCUCGAACCAAUGCAACCUACCCAGCAUUCAUUUGCAAAUGGAAUUCUCCUCAUGACAACCACUGUAUAAAACUUGCUCUUCACCAAGAGCAGACAUCAGCGCCAGGCUAUGGCACCCUAGCAAAACAACCAACCAACCAAACAAACAAACAAAUAAACAACAACAACAACAACAAAGAACAGGAAACGAUGGUUUAUAACAACUAAAACAAAUUCAAAAUAGUGAUCCCAAGGAAACUCUGCAUACUCUGAACUCUGGGAAACUAUUUAAGAUCUGAACAGAAAUUCAAGAAGGAGGAUGGCUACCAUUAAAACAACAAAUGGAGACAAGUCCAGGAAGUAAAAUCUUCAGUAAUUAAUCAAGGAAUGCUGGCUUCAACAAGAAUGCCUUACAAAACACACCGCCGUUGUUUUAACUAAACAAUCUCACACCAUGACACAGUUAGGCAGACUCGGGACCUGUCAAUCACCCCAUCAUCUCACAAUGCAGUAGGAGGUGGUUUCCAGAUUGCACAGGGUCCAGGCACAUAGAAAACAGCCCAUUAUAUAAAAUCAGUAGUUGCGGCCAGUGUGAACCAGUACUGCAGCACGGAGAAGCAACGUGUGGAGGCAGGAGUCUCCGGCUGAUACUUGCUUCUGCUUUGGAAGUCAGAGUUUCACUUCUGACAAGGAUCAAGUUUAAAGCAGGAGUAAAUCCCCUUUGUAGCAAUACAUUAAAGAGAAUCACAGAACGUUUCAUUGGGCACAAAAGCUUCUGCUGACAGCACGGGACGCCUCUCACUGUGCAGCCAACUCCUUUCUGCUGCAGAUGCCUAACAGUCCCUCUCCACGUUACCCAGUUUGCUCUCUUAUGAACCCAUCAGCGUAGACUUGCAAUUAUUUUGUGUGAAUUUGUUCUUGUAAUCAAAGAGUAAACGAGAGGUGGUGUUGCAAGCCAGAAGCAAUCAUCCUUUUAAUGCUUACCUACACGUACUCACCUUUACCUGGAGACUUUAUGUUCCUCUGCAGCUUUGACCUCUCUGUCUUUUUAUUUGACUGGACAUGCUCUUAGCAUUUCUAGCAGGGUAGGUCUGCUGGUUGAACGUUUCUUCAGAUUUCAUUUCUACAUGUCUUAAUUUCUUUAAAAUUUCGAGAUUUUUUUUUCUGGUGGCGUUCUAUUGUGGGGGGAUGCUGACAAUACUUAAA
rnacentral:sRNA from 1 species